rnacentral:rRNA from 1 species
AUUGAACGCUGGCGGCAUGCCUUACACAUGCAAGUCGAACGGCAGCACGGGUGCUUGCACCUGGUGGCGAGUGGCGAACGGGUGAGUAAUACAUCGGAACAUGUCCUGUAGUUGGGGAUAGCCCGGCGAAAGCCGGAUUAAUACCGCAUACGAUCCACGGAUGAAAGCGGGGGACCUUCGGGCCUCGCGCUAUAGGGUUUGCCGUUGGCUGAUUAGCUAGUUGGUGGGGUAAAGGCCUACCAAGGCGACGAUCAGUAGCUGGUCUGAGAGGACGACAAGCCACACGGGGACUGAGACACGGACAAGACGCCUAAGGGAGGCAGCAGUGGGGAAUUUUGGACAAUGGGCGAAAGCCUGAUCCAGCAAUGCCGCGUGUGUGAAGAAGGCCUUCGGGUUGUAAAGCACUUUUGUCCGGAAAGAAAUCCUUGGCUCUAAUACAGUCGGGGGAUGACGGUACCGGAAGAAUAAGCACCGGCUAACUACGUG